UAGCAUAUCAAUAAGCGGAGGAAAAGAAACCAACAGGGAUUGCCCCAGUAACGGCGAGUGAAGCGGCAACAGCUCAAAUUUGAAAUCUGGCCCCAGGCCCGAGUUGUAAUUUGCAGAGGAUGCUUUUGGCGCGGUGCCUUCCGAGUUCCCUGGAACGGGACGCCAUAGAGGGUGAGAGCCCCGUACGGUUGGACACCAAGCCUUUGUAAAGCUCCUUCGACGAGUCGAGUAGUUUGGGAAUGCUGCUCUAAAUGGGAGGUACAUUUCUUCUAAAGCUAAAUAUUGGCCAGAGACCGAUAGCGCACAAGUAGAGUGAUCGAAAGAUGAAAAGCACUUUGAAAAGAGGGUUAAACAGCACGUGAAAUUGUUAAAAGGGAAGCGCUUGUGACCAGACUUGCGUCCGGUGAAUCACCCAGCUCUCGCGGCUGGGGCACUUCGCCGGCACAGGCCAGCAUCAGCUUGCCGUCGGGGACAAAAGCUUCAGGAACGUGGCUCCUCUCGGGGAGUGUUAUAGCCUGUUGCAUAAUACCCUUCGGCGGGCUGAGGUACGCGCUCCGCAAGGAUGCUGGCGUAAUGGUCAUCAGCGACCCGUCUUGAAACACGGACCAAGGAGUCAACCUUAUGUGCGAGUGUUUGGGUGUCAAACCCCUACGCGUAAUGAAAGUGAACGCAGGUGAGAGCUUCGGCGCAUCAUCGACCGAUCCUGAUGUUCUCGGAUGGAUUUGAGUAAGAGCAUAUAGGGUUGGACCCGAAAGAAGGUGAACUAUGCGUGUGUAGGGUGAAGCCAGAGGAAACUCUGGUGGAGGCUCGCAGCGGUUCUGACGUGCAAAUCGAUCGUCAAACAUGCGCAUGGGGGCGAAAGACUAAUCGAACCUUCUAGUAGCUGGUUUCCGC
rnacentral:rRNA from 2 species